AAUAAACGUAGGCAUAAGUUUUUUUUUCAACUUUGAUCAUCCGUUUUAUUUAAUUUUUUAUAAUAAUAUUUUUUAUUGUUAUUAGAUUAUAAAAUAUAAAUAACAUUUUAUACGUAAUUAUAUUUUUUAGUGUUUUCAAAAGAAAAAUUUAAAUAAGACGAACGAUUAAAGUUGGAUAAAAAACUCAUGGCUGCGCUUAUU
rfam:Oryza glumipatula chromosome 6, whole genome shotgun sequence.